UUAUGUUUACCAUUCCAGGCCAUCGAAUGUGCACUUGCGAAUGUAGUGCCUGCAGGAGGCAGUGAAAUUUGGAGUGAGGAAGCUCGCCUGUUCGUCUACGAAAUGACUGUAGGACGAGUGCUGCAAGCUCAAAUCUAUGACUAUGCGGUAGAAACAGGAAUCCCCUUGUUUACCUUUACUCGACUUUCGACGAUCAGGUCAUUCUCAUCAAUGAAGAACUCGUGAAACGAGGGUUUGCUGAAUUACCUCCAGCUAUCGUACCACAGGAAUGCCUUGAAGUUGUGAACGAAAUAGUCCCUGAAACUGACGGUGAAAUCCAGCUUGAGGAAUCAGUCGAGAAUGAAGACGCUGAAAAAGCUGAUUCUGGAAUCGCAAAUGAGUCAGAUGAAGUUGCUCAGCCUGAAGAUGACUCAGUACCAGAAACUGAAUCGCUUAAAACUGAUGAUAUCACCUGUGAUGAACCGCAAACAACAUUGAAAGCAGACGAAACAAGUAGCACAGAAGAGGAAACCGUGAAGGAAGAGUAA
rnacentral:lncRNA from 1 species